GGCGCCCACCACCAUGCCUGGCUAAUAUUUUGUAUUUUUAGUAGAGAUGGGGUUUCGUUGUGUUAGCCAGGAUGGUCUCAAUCUCUUGACCUCAUGAUCUGCCUGCCUCGGCCUCGCAAAGUCCUGGGAUUACAGGCAUGAGCCACCGUGCCCGGCCAACGAAACCUAUUUCUGAUAUAGUUGUUGCAUUGAUUCCAAAUAAUUUUGAAGAAAACUAGUGACUGUGGAAAUAUUUGCUGUGUUAUGAGCUUAGAGAAAAAUAAUUUAGUCUCUCACCAAUAAGCAUAAUAGUGCAAGAUCAAGGCACCAGCAGAUUCGGAGUUUGAUGAGAGACUACUUCCUGGUUCAUAGAUGGUGCCUUCUCACUGUGUCCUCACAUGGCGGAAGGGGCAAACAAGAUUUCUGAAGUCUCUUCAAGAACAGUAAUUCCAUUCAUGAGAGCUCUGCCCACAUGACCUAGUCACCUCCCAAAGGCCCUAUCUCCCAGUAGGGAGUUAGGAUUUCAGUGUACAUAUAUUGGGUGAACAAAAUCAUUCAGAUCAUAUACUAUUUUCAUUUAUAUCCAUUUGAUACCCACUUCACUGAUUUCAGUCUUUUUAAAGUUAUUGAGAAUUGUUCUGUGGCCUAUGAUAUGUUUCAUCCUCAUGAAUGUUCUAAGUGAACACUAAAGAAGACAUAUAAAGCAUGAACAACUAUAUGAAAAGAUGUUCAUCAUUAUUAAUUAUAAAGGAAAUGCAAAUCAGAACUACAAUAAGAUAACACUUCACAUCUCAAGCUAUUAUUAAAAAAUCAAAAGAUAGCAGGUGUUGGUGAGAAUGCAGAGAAAUUGAAACCCUUGUUCCCCAUUGGUGGGAAUGCAAAUUGAUGCAAACUUUCUGGAAAACAGUAUGCAUGUUGCUUUAAAAAUAAAAAAUAAAACUA
ensembl:lncRNA novel transcript